GUGGGGAAUAUUGGUCAAUGGUCGAGAGACUGAACCAGCCAAGUAGCGUGCAGGAUGACGGCCCUAUGGGUUGUAAACUGCUUUUAUACGGGGAUAAAGUGAGCCACGUGUGGUUUUUUGCAGGUACCGUAUGAAUAAGGACCGGCUAAUUCCGUGCCAGCAGCCGCGGUAAUACGGAAGGUCCGGGCGUUAUCCGGAUUUAUUGGGUUUAAAGGGAGCGCAGGCGGGGAGCUAAGCGUGACGUGAAAUGUAGCCGCUCAACGGCUGAACUGCGUCGCGAACUGGCUUUCUUGAGUGAGUACGACGUCAGCGGAAUUCGUGGUGUAGCGGUGAAAUGCUUAGAUAUCACGAAGAACCCCGAUUGCGAAGGCAGCUGACGAGUCCUUUACUGACGCUAAAGCUCGAAGGUGCGGGUAUCGAACAGG
rnacentral:rRNA from 1 species